CACAAUAGAGACUUGAGAGGGGGUUUGACAUAGAGGAGGGAACAUUCUUUAGGGGAGAGGGUUCAGAGCUAGAGUAGGGCUAAGGGGAGAGACUAGGGAAUCACGCAUCUACUCAAGCACUGUGUGGGAGAGGGGUAGGGGAGUGGAAGAGAGGGAUUUGAUCCGCCCCGUGGUCUUGCCCGUCCGGUACCGCGAAGGUCUAGGCACCUCCUCGCGGCUCCAGCGCGCGGCGGGCGGCACGCGAAAACGAGGUGCCGGCCGGCCGGCCGCAGAGGCGGUGCCAGCAGGAGAAGGAGGAGACGUGGUGGCGCAUGUAGCUGCCGCGGCGGCACCCGCUGGAGCUCAGAAAAGCGGAAGAGGAGCAGACUGCGCCUCCACGAGAAUGGGCUGGAGCGGCGGCCCGGUUCCUUUGGGGUGGUACGGCGCUCGAAAAGUAGGGAGUCCAGGACGUUUUCGCACGAGUUUCCGUACGGUGGAUCAACACCUUCUCGACCAAUUCCUCACCCUCGAGGGAAAACGCCGGGUCGAGUGUAGCUGUGUGCGGGGGGAGGGACGAAGGAGACGCAGAGGCUACCGAAGAAGAAGAAGCUGAGGCCGUAUCCGUUUACGUACCAAUGUAUUUCCCGGGACGACGAAGGAGGUCCUUAAACCAGCAGAACCAGGAAGUGCCGUUCAACCUGAAAUAAAUUCCACCAGGAUCUAUCUCUAAAGACACGAUGAUCGGAACCUACAAGACGUUGAACUCACAUGAUCCUAAAUUGAGUUAAAGAGCAAAUCAGAGGACUUUUGGUAACGGUAAAGAAAACAAGAUGUCUUGUAGUUAUCUUUCGUACACGAACUAUGUUAUGGGGUAACGAACUUUAUCUCGAAUAGGAUUGUAUAGACUGAGCUAGACAAUGGAAUAAUCAUCAAAAAUCAACUUCAAAGUUGGUCUUUAACAAAUAUGAGUCGUUACUGUAGCACACCUUACAUGAUACAAGUAUAUAUACCACAAUACCGGACAAUAGGAAAUAACUCAACUGUCUACUUCGUCAUCUGAAGUCUUCACUUUUAAGUUGAUCCUCAGGAACUAUUGUCAACAUACCUAUCCUACAUUAGCUGUAAACGAAGAAAAACGUCGUGUAGUUAUCUUUUGGACACGAACAACCUCGUGGGUAACGAAAUCUGUUACGAACAAAAUUGUAUAUAUUAGUAACUCGACCUAGACACUGGAACAAUCAACGAAAGUCAACAUCGAAAGUUGUUAUUUUAUAAAUAGAGUCACCGUUAUAACGAACGUGUCAUGAUACGACUAGGAAAGAUGGGGAUAGUAAAUUAGAUAAACUAGAUCAACACUGCGAGACAAAUAAAGUCGUUCUUACGAUAGACCCAUGCAAUGGUUUCGUCCUGACAUAUGGCUCUGUACAUGUUCCUCAUGGCACAGCGGUGGGGGCAGUUCCCCUACAUGUCUCUACCGAAGGGCGGUGACACGGUCUAGGGGGACGUAGGUCUAGUGGUUCUGACGGUGACAGGUGAAGUCGUAGACGUUCGCACUAUUGUGAUUCGUCAAAGUGUUCAGUCUGUAGUGCAAGGCGACCAGAUGGUCUUCCAGUCCGUUGGUUGGUCUAAGGACGUCCCAGGGUCGUCUCCUCUCGUUCAAGGUAGGUAGGGUUCGGGACCUCGUCCGCUGCACUUGUAAUCUCUGCCAAGUUGCUGCAGGCGUAGACGUCCGUACAGCCGGCUGUUCUUGUACUUGAUGCGGCAGGACUGUAGUCGUAGACGUCAGCACACUACAAACCGUAGCCGAUGUUGAGACUGCUAUCUACGUUUGCUGCCACUGUUCAAUGAUGGUUUGAAACCGGGUUCUCACCGUUCUGUGGUUCCUCUCUUCAUGGUGGCUAACUUUCGUUCUAAACCUUCGUGAUACAUUUUACCGUUCUGCUCGGACUGUACGAUGAACACACUAGACAUACAACCGGUUCACGAACGAUGAGGGAGACUAGGUUUUUUUCACAGCACCGAAGUUGGUUCUAUGAAAAAAACCUAACCUCCCCCAUUAACUAUACGGACCAAACAUUGACCCAACCGAUAACUUGAUAACGACCGCUCACGAACACGAAACAAACAACCAACGGCUUCACAACCUAUAACUUGAUCGAAACUUUAACCAGUACUAAGUACAUUAAAAGAGGAACAAAUAGUAGGAACUAGUAAUAUCUAAAUAUAUGACCCAGCCACUACUAAAAAGCACAUACGCUGAAAAGAAAUCGGAAACUUUUUGUUGUCUAAAAUAAACUAUAAAC
rnacentral:rRNA from 1 species